UACAGAGGGUGCAAGCGUUGUUCGGAAUUAUUGGGCGUAAAGGGCGCGUAGGCGGUGCUGUAAGUCUGUGGUGAAAUCUCUGGGCUCAACUCAGAGUCUGCCAUAGAAACUGCAGUGCUGGAGUGUGGGAGAGGUGAGUGGAAUUCCCGGUGUAGCGGUGAAAUGCGUAGAUAUUGGGAGGAACACCAGUGGCGAAGGCGGCUACCUGGACCGGUUCUGACGC
rnacentral:rRNA from 1 species